UGUGUGUGUGUACGUUGGUUGUUAUACGUGUUGCUGAAAUGCUGCUGCUGCUGCCUUUCGAUGUCUUAUCCUCGAGGGGGGAAAGAAUGUGUUGUGGGUGUGUGUGUGUGUGCGGUUAAAUGCGGGAAAGUUUGGCCGAACUGAUAGCAAGCGCACGCUGCAAGGAGAAGAAAAGUAGGAAAAAAUAACGGUAAAACGGUAUAAGAAGCGCUUGAAAACUACGAGGCGCCUCCAUAUUACUGUGUGGCUGUGAAGGAAGGACGAAAAAAAAGAGACGAAGCUCACAACAUCAAAGUAACACUUGAAGUGGCGCUGUGUGUUUUGCCUGCGUUCGGGGACGAGUGAUAUUGAAACACGGGUUUUCGGUAGGACGGCUGCUUCAACGUGCGGUCUUGGCCAGAGAUGUCACACCAUGAAGGGUUGGUGUGGAGAGACCGUCCUUUCAUCGAGCGUAGUAGUACCAUCCGGCGCGUUUUUUCUUUGCUCCGCUCAACAAUCGAGAACUUUCCCUGCUACGCUCCACGAUUAGCUCCAAUUGGUGCAACAUAACCGACCCUGCCAUGUUUCGAACCGGGAAAAUCGGGCAACAUGUUCGCCCGUUGCUCGAACGAACACUGGUUGCGGCCCUUUAGCGCUGCUGCGCUGGUGUGAUGUUGAUGAAAAAACAUGAAAGCUCACUACCCUUACACACACCUGAGACGUUGCAGGGGGUACCUCUUUCGGUAUCUGGCGGAGGCCACCACCCCGAGCUCAAUCGAAAACCAGCUGAUGGACGGCGAUGGGCUUGCUAACAACGCUGUGUGUCGGAUGAAGACGCUCUCAUUUCCCAACGGCCUGCUGUUGCGCCGCAAUGAGGCCGCAGAUGUGUGUGUGCUAACCAGACGUGUGCUGCUACGAACCGCAUCGGACAUCAAAUCCCGAUGGUUAUGUUUUAUUAGAUCAAUCAAUCCCCACACGAUUACGCUUCGUUGGUAAGCUAAUUUUUAUCCCGUGUAUCGACCAAAGGCUGCCGCUUGCCUUUGUAGUGUACAGGCUCUAGCGAAGAUGUCGAAAAGAAGCCCGAGAACAUAAGAAUGAGGUGCGCGCGAAGAGGUGCGCUGCAGAACAACACAACAAACCACUCCCGGAGCACAAGAAAUGUAGGUGAAACUCGUAAAAAAACGGCUCCAUCAGUCGUACAAUUUCUCCUCCUACCAGUCAGCACUGUUUGCGUGUUGUUCUACCCGAAACAACGCCCAAGCCUGGUUGGCUUACCGUUUGGCCCAUUUUACACACCUACCAGACCUGUGUGCAGUGACUUCUCUUGAGAUCGGUUUCACGAUCAGUUUAUUGAACUUCGGAACGGUUCGUCGUCACCAACCGAGGGGUUUUAUUUGCGUACGUGUGGGCAGCAGAAGUGGGUGAGCCGCCGCCUGCUGACCUUAAUCGAUGUUGACUUCUUUGCCAGAAGUUCUCCCGAAGCGAUCGUGGGAUCGUCCCCCCUCUUUAGUUCUGGUAAGGUGGGCAGAGGUUGUUGCUGUUACUUGAGAGACAGUGUACCGUUGCGGGCCCGAUGUUUGUGUGUGCCUUUUGACGACCAUGACCCAUUAAAUCGAGGUCCACACGAUCGUGAUCGCGCGUCAAUUACUGCGAGGCGGGUGGCUUACGCUUACUUCCUCGCUUGGGCAGGUUCGGGGUACACUACCAAGUUAUGCGGCUAUGUGUGUCAAACUAUCGGUGGGCAGUUCUUCCUUUCGCCUCCGACGGGGCAAUUUAACGAGGUGUUAGACCUUCGCGCGAAGGAUACCAGUGUUUUCGAACGAGUGAUGAUGCGUUAAAAUAUUCAAUGCUGUUAACAAGCAAAUGGACGUAGUUGGUGUCGUCUUCCGGUACUAGCGACCAGGAAAAGCUGCCUUGAGCAUGAAUGCACUGUGUACGUGCAAGGCUAAAGGCGAAGACAAGGCGAUAUCUACGCGAUCGUGAUCUAGAAAACCAAUAUUUUGGUUAAUGUAUCAUGUCCCAGCCAGUCUCAUCAAAACGUCCCUACAAUUUGGUGAUUCUGCGGUAUACUUUUCACUGCUCUAUUUGGUUGGUUAAUUUCUGUUUACCCUGCUCAUCCAACCGAUCUGUCGUACAUUAUGAUGCAUCAAAAUAUAACGAGUUGUUUUAUCUAAAAGCGUCCGCUGUGUUUUUUGGAGAUUUUCAAUUUCCAUCACACCCGGGAACCCCAAAACACAGGAAGCGAAGCCGGGCAGCGACUUGCAAGAACACGAUCCACAGGAAGACCGUUCGGUUAUGCACCGUUACUUUCGUUAAUUAGUGCUCGAACGAUCAGCGGGUCGAAAAAAGAAAGAAGAAAAGGGAAUUUAUAUUUAAAGCCAAACGGGAGACAACUCCAAAAGAAACCGGGUUGACCAGAACUUCAUCGUGGGGGGGGGGGG